rnacentral:misc_RNA from 1 species
UCCGGUUUGUCACCGGCAGUCUCAUUAGAGUGCUCUUUCGUAGCAACUAAUGACAAGGGUUGCGCUCGUUGCGGGACUUGACCCAACAUCUCACGACACGAGCUGACGACGGCCAUGCAGCACCUGUGUUACGGCUCUCUUUCGAGCACAACCAAAUCUCUUCGGUCUUCCGUACAUGUCAAGGGUAGGUAAGGUUUUUCGCGUUGCAUCGAAUUAAUCCACAUGCUCCACCGCUUGUGCGGGCCCCCGUCAAUUCUUUUGAGUUUUAGCCUUGCGGCCGUACUCCCCAGGCGGAACACUUAUCGCGUUGGCUGCGGCACAGACAGAUUCGACUCCGCCCACACCUAGUGUUCAUCGUUUACGGCGUGGACUAC